UAACCCGGGUUUCGCCACAGUCUGUGAA
rnacentral:piRNA from 1 species